rfam:Rattus norvegicus chromosome 15, whole genome shotgun sequence.
GGGGAUUUAGCUCAGUGGUUAGAGCGCUUGCCUAGGAAGCGCAAGGCCCUGGGUUCAGUCCCCA